AUUGAACGCUGGCGGCAGGCCUAACACAUGCAAGUCGAGCGGGGUUUUCGGACCUAGCGGCGGACGGGUGAGUAAUGCGUAGGAAGCUGCCCGAUAGAGGGGGAUACCAGUUGGAAACGACUGUUAAUACCGCAUAAUGUCUACGGACCAAAGUGUGGGACCUUCGGGCCACAUGCUAUCGGAUGCGCCUACGUGGGAUUAGCUAGUUGGUGGGGUAAUGGCUCACCAAGGCGACGAUCCCUAGCUGGUUUGAGAGGAUGAUCAGCCACACUGGAACUGAGACACGGUCCAGACUCCUACGGGAGGCAGCAGUGGGGAAUAUUGGACAAUGGGCGCAAGCCUGAUCCAGCCAUGCCGCGUGUGUGAAGAAGGCCUUCGGGUUGUAAAGCACUUUCAGUAGGGAGGAAGGGUGUUGUGUUAAUAGCACAGCAGUUUGACGUUACCUACAGAAGAAGCACCGGCUAACUCUGUGCCAGCCGCCGCAGUAACAC
rnacentral:rRNA from 1 species